UUCCCCAUUUGGAAAAUGGAGAAACCUGGGACUAAGAACCUAGAUUUUUUUUUUUUUUGGUCUAGUUUCCUUUCCCCUAAAUAACAAUCUUUCCUUCUCAACAUGGUAGUUAUGCAAGCUGAGCUGAGUGAAGAAUAUAUGAAAAUACUGUAUAAAAUGUAGAUAGAAAGAGACUGACAUUUAUUGAGCAUCUACUGUGAUCCAGGCAUUUGUGAUAGAAGGGUUAGGAAGAUGUUGUUCUUUCCAAUUUUGGAAAAAAUAAAAAGUAGAUGAAGAGUAGAAUAACAUUACAAGAAAUUACAAAAUUACAAAAAAAUCCCACAAGCAUAUCCACAUGACCUGCCCUUGAGUGAUGUACUAGAAAGACUGAUGGUCUCCCCAAAAUGUCCAUGUCCUGUGAGUACACCACCUUUUAUGGCAAAAGGGACUUUGCAAACAUAGUUAGAUUUGGUUUUUGAGAGGGGAAGAUUAUUUCAGAUUCUCUGGGUGGGCUCAAUGUAAUUGCAAGGUCCAAUACAAGGGAAAGAGAGAGUCAGGAAGGUCCGAGUCAGAGAGAAGAAGAUAUGCAAAUAGAAGCAAAAGUCAGAGUGAUGUGAGGAUGGGGCCAUGGGCCAAGGAACGUGGAAGCUGGGCAAGGCAAGACCCAGCUCUAGAGCCUAGAGCCUCCAGAAGGAGCACAACUGGAAUCCUGCCAACACCUCGAUUUUAGCCAACACCCAUUCUGGAUGUUGGCCCAGAAUGCUAGGAUAAUGCAUUUUGAUUGUUUUGAUGAUCCACUAAGUUUAUGGUAAUUUGUAAUAGCAGCAAUGGGACGCUCACACACAUGGCUUAUAAUGUAUGGAAUGAAGAUAUCCAAUAACGGAGCAUUUCAUUUCAGUGUGGCAGGCCAUGACGGGCGGGUGCAGUUGGGUGUGCAGUAGACUUGCUCAGAAGAGGUUUAGGAUGCAGAAGAGCUCGGUUAUGAAGAUGCCAUUCGUUUCUCAGGCCUGUCUUCAGUGUCUCCCUCUGUGGUCUUUUCCUAUCAACCUGGCAUUCCAGUCCUCACUAUAUG
rnacentral:lncRNA from 1 species